CUAAGGUCUUCGAUGACGAGGCCUCAGCCUCCCGCUCUGUAAAAUGGGCUUGAUCAUCCCUGUCUGGGUGAUCGAGCAUGUUAAGUAGGGAUAUAUGCAUGAAGACACCUUGAAACCUGCCCUGGGUCAUAAAUAUGUCAGGGAGGUUUGGAUCAUCUUAGCCAAAACAGCUGCUCGACAUCUGGGAUCAGAAGGCAGCUGUAAUCUGGCACUGAGGCCUCUGUGCUGAGUUGGAAGACACAACAAGGAACAACUUCUGAAAGAUGAGGAGGCUAGUAUGUUCACAAUUCUGAAGGACCUCCUAGAGACGAAGAGAAGACAGAAAAACAAGAGCAGGAGGCCGGGCGCGGUGGCUUACGCCUGUAAUCCCAGCACUUCCGGAGGCUGAGGCAAGUGGACUGUUUGCGCUCAGGAGUUUCACAGCAGCCAGCAGCCUGGGCAGCAUAGUGAGACCCUGUCUCUACUAAAAAUACAAAAAUUAGCCGGGUGUGGUGGUGUGCGCUUUAGUCCCAGCUACUCAGGAGGCUGAGCUGGGAGGUUGGCUUGAGCCCAGGAGGUGGAGGCUGCAGUGAGCCCACGUUGCACCACUGCACUCCAGCCUGGGUUGAUGGAGCCAAACCCUGUCUCAAAAAAAAUAAACAAUAAAA
rnacentral:lncRNA from 1 species